CCACACUACACGGGCAUGUGCUAGUCAAUGACAAAUCAGAAAUAACUAACUGCCCACCUGGGCUGUCCUAAGCCAAGCUAUAGCCACCAUUGGCACUUGUGAGGCACAGGAAGUGAGGUAGGGAACAGCCUCUGGAAUUCGCUGACUUCCUGUGGAGAGAGCUAGACGGGAGUUCAGGUGGCACAGUGGAUAAAGAGCUGGACUUGGAGUUCAAAUGUGACUUAAGACACUCAUUAGUUUUGUGACCCUGGGUAUCUCCCACCCUCCUUCCCAUCCCCACACUAGAGAAGGCAUCAUUUGACAAAAAGAUAUGUGUAUAUAUAAAACUAUGUCUUGCUUGUUUUUAUUUAUCAGCACUUUCUCUGAAGUUGGGAAUACAUAAAUUAUUCUUCAAACAAUAUUUCUGUUGCUAUAUAUAAUGUUCUCUUGAUUCUAUAAGUUUCAUUCAUUUUUUUAAAAACCCUUACCUCCUGUCUUAGAAUCUAUAUUAAGUGUUGGUACCAAGGUAGGAUUAGGCAAUUGGGGUUAAGUGACUUUCCCAGGGUCACACAGUGAAGAAGUGUUUGAGGUUAGAUUUAAACCCAGGACUUCCCAUCUCUAGGUCUGA
rnacentral:lncRNA from 1 species